GUGCUUGCUUAGGCAGCACAUAUACUAAAACUGGGAUGACGCAGAGAUUAGCAUGGCCCCUGCGCAAGGAUGAAAUGCAAAUUCGUGAAGUGUUCCAUAGUUUU